rnacentral:rRNA from 1 species
CGUAAUCACUUGUCUUUUAAAUAAAGACUAGUAUGAAUGGCAUCACGAGAGUUCAACUGUCUCCCACACCCAAUCAGUGAAACUGAUCUCCCCGUGCAGAAGCGGGGAUAAAACCAUAAGACGAGAAGACCCCAUGGAGCUUUAAACUAAAGGCACUAGCCCCUAACUCACCCCCCAGGGUAAAACCAUUUUAACCGGCUAAAGUGACCUGUCGUUUUCGGUUGGGGCGACCACGGAGAAAAACAAAUCCUCCGAGAUGAAGGGGAUAACCCUUAGCCAAGACCAACAAUUCUAAGCAAUAGAACGUCUAACGCACUGAUCCAAUCAAAUUGAUCAACGAACCAAGUUACCCUGGGGAUAACAGCGCAAUCUAUUUUCAGAGUUCAUAUCGACAAAUAGGUUUACGACCUCGAUGUUGGAUCAGGGCCUCCUAGCGGUG